CUGUGAGCUCGAUGAGUAGGGCGGGACACGUGGUAUCCUGUCUGAAUAUGGGGGGACCAUCCUCCAAGGCUAAAUACUCCUGACUGACCGAUAGUGAACCAGUACCGUGAGGGAAAGGCGAAAAGAACCCCGGCGAGGGGAGUGAAAAAGAACCUGAAACCGUGUACGUACAAGCAGUGGGAGCACGCUUAGGCGUGUGACUGCGUACCUUUUGUAUAAUGGGUCAGCGACUUAUAUUCUGUAGCAAGGUUAACCGAAUAGGGGAGCCGAAGGGAAACCGAGUCUUAACUGGGCGUUAAGUUGCAGGGUAUAGACCCGAAACCCGGUGAUCUAGCCAUGGGCAGGUUGAAGGUUGGGUAACACUAACUGGAGGACCGAACCGACUAAUGUUGAAAAAUUAGCGGAUGACUUGUGGCUGGGGGUGAAAGGCCAAUCAAACCGGGAGAUAGCUGGUUCUCCCCGAAAGCUAUUUAGGUAGCGCCUCGUGAAUUCAUCUCCGGGGGUAGAGCACUGUUUCGGCAAGGGGGUCAUCCCGACUUACCAACCCGAUGCAAACUGCGAAUACCGGAGAAUGUUAUCACGGGAGACACACGGCGGGUGCUAACGUCCGUCGUGAAGAGGGAAACAACCCAGACCGCCAGCUAAGGUCCCAAAGUCAUGGUUAAGUGGGAAACGAUGUGGGAAGGCCCAGACAGCCAGGAUGUUGGCUUAGAAGCAGCCAUCAUUUAAAGAAAGCGUAAUAGCUCACUGGUCGAGUCGGCCUGCGCGGAAGAUGUAACGGGGCUAAACCAUGCACCGAAGCUGCGGCAGCGACACUAUGUGUUGUUGGGUAGGGGAGCGUUCUGUAAGCCUGUGAAGGUGUACUGUGAGGUAUGCUGGAGGUAUCAGAAGUGCGAAUGCUGACAUAAGUAACGAUAAAGCGGGUGAAAAGCCCGCUCGCCGGAAGACCAAGGGUUCCUGUCCAACGUUAAUCGGGGCAGGGUGAGUCGACCCCUAAGGCGAGGCCGAAAGGCGUAGUCGAUGGGAAACAGGUUAAUAUUCCUGUACUUGGUGUUACUGCGAAGGGGGGACGGAGAAGGCUAUGUUGGCCGGGCGACGGUUGUCCCGGUUUAAGCGUGUAGGCUGGUUUUCCAGGCAAAUCCGGAAAAUCAAGGCUGAGGCGUGAUGACGAGGCACUACGGUGCUGAAGCAACAAAUGCCCUGCUUCCAGGAAAAGCCUCUAAGCAUCAGGUAACAUCAAAUCGUACCCCAAACCGACACAGGUGGUCAGGUAGAGAAUACCAAGGCGCUUGAGAGAACUCGGGUGAAGGAACUAGGCAAAAUGGUGCCGUAACUUCGGGAGAAGG
rnacentral:rRNA from 1 species